UACGGGGAGGGCAAGCGUUGUUCGGAAUUACUGGGCGUAAAGGGCGCGUAGGCGGCCUCUAAGUCGAACGUGAAAUCCCCGGGCUCAACCGUGGAACUGCGUCCGAUACUGGAAGGCUUGAAUCCGGGAGAGGGAUGCGGAAUUCCGAGGUGUAGCGGUGAAAUGCGUAGAUAUCUGGAGGAACACCGGUGGCGAAGGCGGCAUCC
rnacentral:rRNA from 1 species